GCCCGGUGCGCAGGCGAGGGUUACUUCGAAUUGGAAUCGAGAGGUUGCGGGUUCGAGUCCCGCCGCGGGCU
rnacentral:tRNA from 1 species